rnacentral:rRNA from 1 species
UACCCCAUAGGAAGCUUUAUCCAUGAUUUAGCCUUUAAAGCCUUCGGGCGCUGAGGGAUUGGGAUAUGCUCUAUUAGCUAGUUGGCGGGAUAAAAGCCCACCAAGGCAAUGAUAGAUAGCUGGUCUUAGAGGAUGAACAGCCACAAUGGGAUUGAGAUACGGCCCAUAUUCCUACGGGAAGCAGCAGUAGGGAAUCUUCCACAAUGGACGAAAGUCUGAUGGAGCAAUACCAUGUGAACGAUGAAGGCCUUUUUGGUUGUAAAGUUCUUUUACGAGGGAUAAUUAUGAUAGUACUUCGUGAGUAAGUGACAGCAAACUAUGUGCCAGCAGCUGCGGUGAUACAUAGGUCGCAAGCAUUAUUCGGAUUUAUUGGGCGUAAAGCAAGCGCAGGCGGAUGUGUAAGUUCUGUGUUAAAUGCAGCUACUCAAUAGUUGUAUGCACCGAAUACUACAUGUCUAGAUUGUGGUAGGGAGUUUCGGAAUUAAGCAUGGAGCGGUGGAAUGUGUAGAUAUGCUUAAGAACACCAGAGGCGAAGGCGGAAACUUAGGCCAUAAAUGACGCUUAGGCUUGAAAGUGUGGGGAGCAAAUGGGAUUAGAUACCCCAGUAGUCCACACCGUAAACGAUGGGUAUUAGAUAUUAGGGCUUUAGCUUUAGUGUUGUAGCUUACGCGUUAAAUACCCCGCCUGGGUAGUACAUAUGCAAAUAUGAAACUCAAAGGAAUUGACGGGGACCUGAACAAGUGGUGGAGCAUGUUGCUUAAUUCGAUAAUACACGAAAAACCUUACCAAGGUUUGACAUCCAUCGCAAAGCUAUAGAAAUAUAGUAGAGGUUAUCGAGGUGACAGGUGGUGCAUGGCUGUCGUCAGCUCGUGUCUUGAGAUGUUUGGUUAAGUCCCGCAACGAGCGCAACCCCACUCUUUAGUUACUUGUCUAAAGAGACUGCACAGUAAUGUAGAGGAAGGAUGGGAUCACGUCAAGUCAUCAUGCCCCUUAUGCCUUGGGCUGCAAACGUGCUACAAUGGCGAACACAAUGUGUUGCAAACCAGCGAUGGUAAGCUAAUCACCAAAUUUCGUCUCAGUUCGGAUAGGAGGCUGCAAUUCGCCUCCUUGAAGUUGGAAUCACUAGUAAUCCCGUGUCAGCUAUAUCGGGGUGAAUCCGUUCCCA